rnacentral:lncRNA from 1 species
CCGCGUAUCUCUCGGGGACCCUGCGGCCAACACUGUCUUUUAGAGCCGGGGAUGGGGGAGUGGAGGGGGCCCUGUUGCCCUAGAGGCCUCGGGACCCUUCCCUUGCCCACCCCCACUCGGGCCGCGGCGGGCAGGAGCAGUCUGCGGAGUUCUGGCCCAUCUGUCACUCUGUCCCGGGACGCUGUGAUCCACGGCGGUGGGGGAGGGGGAAGGGGGAGGGACAAGCAUGGCUCGGGUGAAGUUUUAAACUCUGUUCUUCUCUCUUGCCUUUCUUUGGGGACAUUCUCCCCUUUGGGAUCUGUCCUGGACUUCGCAGGCUGCGAGAACUUGUUGACAAGUGAAAGCUCGGUAGAGCCCCGGCUUGGUUUGUGGUCUGCUUAUUUUUUGCAAAGUGACUGUUCCUGUUUGCGCUGGUCCUUAUCGGUGCCCCUUUGGGGGACUUCGGCACUGAUCAGCGCGCUGACAGCCGCCGUCCGGGCUGCGGGAAAAUGGGGCGCGCCCUCCGGGGGGCGAGUGGCUGUGUCCUUGCUAAUUUCCUCCGUAACCUUUAAACUCUCGCUGGAAGCUACCGCCGCGGCUGGUCACGUGAGGAGAGCCCUGGGCUGCUGGGGAAAAAUUUCCUCGGCUGGGAGCCGGGACCGGGCCGGCGGCCGGCGAGGGACUGCCCCGCGCCCGAGACUGGGAACCUGGGAGGGCAGGGCCGGAGCGCUGGGCCCCGGGGCGCGGCCCAGCUGGGACACCCGCGAAGACGGCGGCGGUGAAGAGGUCGGCUCCGCUGCCGGGGAGCUGGGGAUUAUGCAAAUGGGGAAAGAAAACCUCCGCCCUCGCCCUUCUGCCAAGUCAAGUCUGGGAAUUUGUAGGUAUUGUGGUAAGCUGAGUGUUCAUCUGGCGGGUCUGGUUAGUGUAAACCAAAAUUUAAAACGCGCCUCCCGAUCACUUUUUCCUCAGUGGGUAAAGGUUAUCAUUGCCUGCGGCUUAAAAGCCUAAAAAGGCUUAAAGGCGAGGAAGGAGGCAGUCCCCUGGAAAAACAGGAUAUCAAGUGCAGCAAACACGUCCCAAAAAUGAUCCGAAAAGUUCUAGGGCCAUCUCCUAAGAACAGGCAAAGCCUUUGCCUGCAACCGCUCUGGAGCUUCCUAAUACAGUAAUUUCUCGCAGCCUGCCCUGUUGAACAGGGCAGCUGGGUAGAGAUGGUGCUAAGAUUCAGUCUUCCGUAUGAUCUAGGUAGCUCCGAUGUAAAAAGCCAGGAUUUCAAUGGUUGUCUUACCCUGUCACUCCCCCAGCUGGAGAUACGAUAUCUUAAAAUAUGUCCGUUUGACAAAGCACAAGCAGGGGUAUCUCAUUGCUGUUUAAUUUUUAUUUCUUUGAUUAUUACUUUUUUCCCUUUUGCUUCUUCCUUCCACUCUGCUAUUCUCAUGAAGCCUCUUUCCCCCUUUCCAGGGCAUGUGAUGGAAGGCAGUGGCAAAUAUGGCUUGAUCUUCUGAAAAUGCAUUUGGGAAGCAGAGCCAGCACCAAAGUGAGAUGAGUGAGAUACUUUUCAGAGGCAAAAUGUAAAGGGUACCAAUAAACGUAAUCAAGAUAAAGAUUUAAUACAAUUUUUUAAAAAUAAAAAUGUGAGAAUCCAGAAUGGACACAAUAUCCACAUUUUAAAUAAUUUUAAAUAUUGCACUAAAAUAUUUAUACUACUGAGUUUAUUGGCACCUGUUAAAUUUUGUACCUGAGCCGAGUGCGUCACUCAUCUCACCCUAGUCCUGAUCCUGUUGGGAAGUCUGGAAAGUCAAGGAUUUCAUGGAGUUAGGGAUCCUUGACUAAUUGGUGCUUCAUAUGUUCUCAUUACUUGCUUUGGGUAAGUCUUGUACAGGCAGGAGCCACCAUGCCCAGCCCCCAAAUAUAUUAAAUAGGGUCUGUUACCAUCUCAGUGACUGUCUUAAAACAACCUACAAACUUCCAGCACCAUUUCCUAGCAUGCUGGCUCAGCAGACUGUUACUCCGUGUAAAUCACCAGACUGCAAUUCUCAAGGGCGACCAAUGCUUGUCUCCUUUCCAUUACAGCAACUCUUUUGGAGCAAGGGUAAUAAAAGACUUUGUCAAACAAAAUACAUGUUUUGUAUUGGAUUAAUGUUUACAUAAAAAGGGAGAAUGCUGGUAGUCUGCAUGCAAACACUGCUAGUUUCCUGCCCUUAUUACCUCCUUAUUUCUAAAUAAAUCUCUCGCCUUCCUACUCUCAAACUUGGCCAAAUGAAAAGUUGAAUUCCCCAGGGACAUCAUGGAGAUGCCAGGUCCAAAAUAACCCCCUGCUCCAGGUUUCAUGUGAAAAGAAAAUCCCAAGGAGGGGGCUUAGACGGUAAA